rnacentral:rRNA from 1 species
GAUGGCUUUGGCUAUCACUCUGGGAUGGACCUGCGGUGCAUUAGCUAGUUGGUAAGGUAACGGCUUACCAAGGCGAUGAUGCAUAGCCGAGUUGAGAGACUGAUCGGCCACAAUGGAACUGAGACACGGUCCAUACUCCUACGGGAGGCAGCAGUAGGGAAUCUUCCACAAUGGGCGCAAGCCUGAUGGAGCAACACCGCGUGAGUGAAGAAGGGUUUCGGCUCGUAAAGCUCUGUUGUUGGAGAAGAACGUGCGUGAGAGUAACUGUUCAUGCAGUGACGGUAUCCAACCAGAAAGUCACGGCUAACUACGUGCCAGCAGCCGCGGUAAUACGUAGGUGGCAAGCGUUAUCCGGAUUUAUUGGGCGUAAAGCGAGCGCAGGCGGUUGCUUAGGUCUGGUGUGAAAGCCUUCGGCUUAACCGAAGAAGUGCAUCGGAAACCGGGCGACUUGAGUGCAGAAGAGGACAGUGGAACUCCAUGUGUAGCGGUGGAAUGCGUAGAUAUAUGGAAGAACACCAGUGGCGAAGGCGGCUGUCUGGUCUGCAACUGACGCUGAGGCUCGAAAGCAUGGGUAGCGAACAGGAUUAGAUACCCUGGUAGUCCAUGCCGUAAACGAUGAGUGCUAGGUGUUGGAGGGUUUCCGCCCUUCA